GACGAACCGUGCGAACGUUGUUCGGAAUCACUGGGCUUAAAGGGCGCGUAGGCGGGUGUGCAAGUCUGUGGUGAAAGCCUCCAGCUUAACUGGAGAAGUGCCAUGGAUACUGCGCAUCUUGAGGAGGGUAGGGGCAUCUGGAACAUUGGGUGGAGCGGUGAAAUGCGUUGAUAUCGUUCGGAACACCAAUAGCGUAGGCAGGCUUCUGGGUGCCACCUGACACUGCUAGGACGAAAGCGUGGGGAGCGAAUGGG
rnacentral:rRNA from 1 species